GUUCUGCCAGGAUGUAAGGCAUCCUAGCCACACGUACUUGCCACCACAAAGCUGCCUGCCCUGCGCCUUUCCCCACCAUGAUGAACUGUAUCCUCAAGCACAUGGCACACAGACUGAUACCCAAGAAGAGCCAACCUUCUGUGAGGAAACCUAGAAAACCCUAGCCAGGGGAAGGAUGGAGAGUUGAAUUGUCAAAUUCCUACUCACAGCCACAGCCUCAGCCCCCACAGCUGCUCCUCUAACCCCUCUAUGAAGCUGACAUAGGUUUCUAUCAUACAAUCAGGGUCUUCCCUAAGAAUGUGUGUCCGGCAAGGACAGGCUCCUGUGCAUGAGGCCCAGGCAGAGCCCAGACGGAGGGAAAAACAGCCACACAAAUCAUUAAUGUGAUAAUUGCCCUCAUAGUAACUCGGAACUGUCCUGUGAAAAACCACUUCAAAAUGCAAGCUAGGAAGAGAUGAGCCCUCUUGGAGGACAGUCAACCUUCUCUCCUUGUCUCAGUGCUGGGGAUUGAACUCAGGACCUGUGCAUAUGAAGCAAGUGCUCUAUCACUGAGCCACAUCCCAGUGGUCCCUGGGAGAUGCACCUGAGAGAUACCUGUGCUCUGUAACCACACUGUCAUUUGUCUUCCUCCCUGCAG
rnacentral:lncRNA from 1 species